rnacentral:rRNA from 1 species
UACGAAGGGGGCUAGCGUUGCUCGGAAUCACUGGGCGUAAAGCGCACGUAGGCGGACUCUUAAGUCGGUGGUGAAAUCCUGGAGCUCAACUCCAGAACUGCCUUUGAUACUGAGGAUCUUGAGUUCGGGAGAGGUGAGUGGAACUGCGAGUGUAGAGGUGAAAUUCGUAGAUAUUCGCAAGAACACCAGUGGCGAAGGCGGCUCACUGGCCCGAUACUGACGCUGAGGCACGGAAAGCGUGGGGAGCAAACAGG